AUGCUGCAGUCUCUGCUGUCCCCUGCCCUCCAACCUGGCUUUUCACACCCAUAUCAGCUGCCAGCACAAGUGUCAUGACCUGGAUUCAAAGAUGCUUUUUAAACCCCUGAUUACAUGGCCUACUUCCUGGCUAUGUAAAUGAGGCCAGGUGGAUUCUAUUUUAAAAGCCUGCUAAAGACCGUGGUUAAAAUAGCUGACAAUAUUACCACACCACUGGGCUUAAAGGGUUUCUCUGUGUCUGAGAGAUGUGGUGGCUUUAUCUCUGUGUUUUAUGUUUCAUUUACUAAUAGGGUUUUAGGAAUCUUACUGGUGCUAUGCCCCUUCCCUUCUCAUUCCCAGAGAGUUCCUCCCUCGAUAUUUGUGGGGAAUCUCUGGCCUUUUUACAGACUAGUUUGCCACUACCACCACACCCUGGCUUUCCUCCACUACCCUACACCAAAGAAGCUACAAGCAAUUUCCAAGUGUCCCUAAAACAACAGGAAAUUGAGGAAAGAUGCUCAGUGAGAACAAGGACAGCAGGAUUCUCCUGAAACUCUCCCCCACAGCAGCUGCAUUUGAAGCAUAAGGACAUACUCCUGCUUGCAAGUGUCUGCCUGCACCAGAGCUGAAGCAUUAGCUGGGUUUUACCUUCUAAAUACAAAUAAUGCUUCCUAUUAAAGGAUUUGCUGGGCUAGACCAUGAGACUGACACAUAGCAUUUGAUCUGAAGAGCUAACUGUGCCAGCAGCCUCUGAAGCUGGUGAAGAAGUAAUGGUGGUAGGUACAAGGCUUGGUUUUUCGUGGAGGCUGUCCACAAAGGAGCUAAAGAAAGUAGCUUACCUCCUCGCCAGCUUGGCUGCAUCUGCUGCAGCACUUCCGUUGACUAGAAGGGACACGUUAGAUAUUGCACCAGCCAGGAAACAGUCC